rnacentral:tRNA from 1 species
GCGUUUAUAGCUCAGUUGGUUAGAGCACCACCUUGACAUGGUGGGGGUCGUUGGUUCAAGUCCAAUUAAACGCACCA